CUCUAUGGAAUCACACUCUGAAUUGAAGGAAAAAUAUGGUAUGCGGCUGAAAUUGAUGCACCCUCUUCAGAGGUUUCGAUGGUGGAAGGUUUGUCCCUUGCAGCAUUGUCAUAUUUCCACCAAAUUGGUUGCUCCCACCUCUAUAAUUCACCCCGCGCGUAUUGAUUGAUUGCGGCAAAAAAAUAACCACCAGCCGACAGAACAACUGGCGGCGAUUGGCUGACUGUCAAAUUUUGAGACUGGAUCGCCGGCGAAAAACCCCUAAUUUUGU
rnacentral:lncRNA from 1 species